GGUGACAUAACCAAGUGGUAAGGUAAGGAAUUGCAAAUUCUUUAUGCCCCAGUUCAAAUCUGGGUGUCGCCU
rnacentral:tRNA from 1 species